rnacentral:rRNA from 1 species
GACGAGCCACACAAACGUUAUUCGGAAUUACUGGGCUUAAAGGGCGCGUAGGUGGCCUGUUAAGUCAGGGGUGAAAGACGGUAGCUUAACUAUCGCAGUGCCUUUGAUACUGACGGGCUUGAAUACACUAGAGGUAGGCGGAAUGUGACAAGUAGCGGUGAAAUGCGUAGAUAUGUCACAGAACACCAAUUGCGAAGGCAGCUUACUAUGGUGUCAUUGACACUGAGGCGCGAAAGCGUGGGGAUCAAACAGG